UACGUAGGGUGCAAGCGUUAAUCGGAAUUACUGGGCGUAAAGCGUGCGCAGGCGGUUCUAUAAGACAGAUGUGAAAUCCCCGGGCUCAACCUGGGAACUGCAUUUGUGACUGUAGAGCUGGAGUGCGGCAGAGGGGGAUGGAAUUCCGCGUGUAGCAGUGAAUGCGUAGAUAUGCGGAGGAACACCGAUGGCGAAGGCAAUCCCCUGGGCCUGCACUGACGCUCAUGCACGAAAGCGUGGGGAGCAAACAG
rnacentral:rRNA from 1 species